AGAGUAAAAAUUAUGCGCGGCAAAAUUCCCCUCUUCCCUCGCCUUUUCCUUCUCCAAAGGCACGAUUUUCCUUAUCCACAAUUCUUUUGUUCAACUCCCAUUUUUCAUCGUGCAAAAGUGUAAUUGGGACAAUGAAGGCUCAUACUUUGUCAUACUCUUUCAUUUUCUGCUAUAGAAUUUAUAUCUGAGUUCAGUAUGUUGUUCGAUCUAUAUUUUCUUACAUGUAUUAGGUUAGUCGGUGUUACCCUCUUCGUUAUAAACCGCCAAAGUAGCCCUAUAACAUUUUUCUACUUCACCUCUACCAUAUCAACCCUCUCCGUCUCCCUCUGAAUCGAUUUGCUUUAUGUAGCUAGGGUUUUGCACUUUCCGAGUAUUUGUUCUAUGUAGUUUGAGAUUUCGUCUUCUAACGAAGCUAUGUGGAGGGGAAGCGGACAAGAUAUGAGGAACAAUAGUAACAUAGCACCACCGGGUACUAGCGGAGAAGGACCACAACCGCCGCCGUCGUCAAUGAUGCGGCCACCUCCGGGACCUCCGCCGUAGUCUAUAAUGCAUCCGCCACCUGGUACUAGUUCAGGACGGCCGUCUAUGAUGCCUCCGGGUACAAGUAUUGGAGGAGCUAGUGGUUCUGGACCACCUCUACCGCCGCUGUCGUAUACUGUUUUGCCUACUGAGGCUCAGCUUAAAGAGAAAGCGAGGAAAUGGAUGCAGCUUAACUCUAAUCGGUAUAGUGAUAAACGGAAGUUCGGAUUUGUUGAAACGCAGAAGGAAGAUAUGCCGCCGGAACAUGUCCGCAAGAUUAUUAGGUUUGUAACUGUUGCGUCUGGAGCAGCCUCGGGGAAAUAUUUGCAGUAUGAGUUGGGAGGUCCCAGAAUUUCUGUUCAAACAGCUUACAGAGUGGAAGUUGAGGUACCUGACAAGCAAUCGACUUACUGGACCAAUUCAAGAUUGGAUCAAAAAUAGAAAUACCAAAUAGCAUUUGCUUGAAUAAGUACAAAAAGAGAUGCUCCAUGGUUUCGGUAUAGCUGUCACGUAGCAAGCAAGUUGUAUUUUGGCAUAAUCCCAUAUGAGCUAGCUUUACUUUCGUGAGUAAUCUUCCGUGCAUUGCAAUCCAGGAGAUAAAACUAUGUUUUGGGAUGUUUGUUAUGUUCCAUACCGCUCUACAUCAUUGUUUUUGUGGUUCUUCUCUGAGCCUCCAUUUAAAGCCACUACUAAUAGUAUAUUGCCCAUUUGGUUUUAGCCAUCCGUUACCCAUGUAACUGGGAAAUGAAGAUGGACAGUUGGCACAUUCUAAUGAGGAUGAGAGCACCCAAAAAAUGUUCUUGUGAUCCUGUCGUGCCGCUGGAAUUGUCUCAUUCUUUGCAUGCCUUUCACCGGGUUUCUCCAUCUGAUGAACUGAACGUGGAAGGUUUCCAUACAUUUUGUAGAGGGUUCUGGAAUUACUUCAGCAUGGGGAUAGAUGCACCAGUAUCUUAUGCAUUUCACUUGGAGAGAAAAAUGAACCCUGACAAAUUCAAAAACCAACUUGUCAAUCAGGUAAUAAAGUGAAAACAAAAAUUAAGAUGAUAAAUCUUCUCUUUGGUUUAUUUCUCUGAAUCUUUGCAUAUCAAUUUGACGUUAAUUGUCCUAAUGUUGUGCUUUGGACCUUUUAUUCUCUUCUAUCUAGAAGAAAAGAAAACUACUAUCAAUUUAAUGACCGUUGUAACGAAACAGAUAAUUUAAAGAUGAAGGGUUGGCCUCUUGGCAACAGGGGUCAAGAUGCCACGAACUUGAUCCUUUAUAUCUUGUCUACACUUUGGUUUGGAACGUUGUGCUGUUUGGCCACCUUGGUGGCAUAGUUAUUGAUUCCUUCGCAUUAUAGUUGGUAAUACAUCAUACAGGUGUAAUAUUGAAAUCUAAUGGAUGCUUUCUUUUGGUCCUUAUUCUAGUUCUAUAUGAAAUACUUCAGAAUGGGGAAAUGACUUAUUUCUUGUGCAACCUACCAGUUUUACUUUGACUUUGACUGACUAGCUUUUAUCAUUUUUUUUGGUUAAAUUGGAAACGGCAACAAGCUCAGGCUGGUUGGAGUGCUGAUUAUGUUCAUGAAAAUUUGAUUGCUUCCCAUCAUGUAAAUGAAGUACAAGAUCAGUUGCACUACUAAACCCAAGCCAACACCUGUUGCAGUGCAAAUAAAUUGGUCCAUUCUUAGCAGAGCAUAGAUAAACCAGCAGGAUCAGGACACGACAACGGCAAAUGACAGGAAAAAUAGCAUGUACUGCACGCUCUUUGUCCUGAUUACUAGUCUAAUGAUAGACCGAGGAGAUACAUACAUAAUGAUGGAGAAGAUGAUGGAAGCAACAAAAAUAUUGUGGCGGAGUUAAACUGCCACCAAUUAUUAUUUUUAAGUACUAAUUUCAUAUUGUAGUGGUUGAAAACUCCUACAUAAUUUUCUAAGAAAACAAUUAGUAUUUUAUUGUGGGAUUUGUAGAACACAAUAUUUUUUUUGUGACAUUGUGAUCAUAUUGCGGGGUUUAUAAACUCCUGCAGUAUUUUUUUUUUUUGA